ACCUUAGGCAAUGGAUGUCUUGGCUCCUUACACGAUGAAGAACGUUGCAUAAUGCGAUAAGCGGCUGGAGUAGCUAACUUUGCGACAAGUUCGAUCUUUGAAUGCACAUUGCGCAAUACGUAUACUUGUAUACGUAUGCAUGUAUGAAGUAGUAACCUAUU
rnacentral:rRNA from 1 species